UAAAACCAGCACCUCAAGUGGUCAGGAUGAUUAUUGGGCCUAAAGCAUCCGUAGCCGGUCCUGUAAGUUUUCGGUUAAAUCUGUACGCUCAACGUACAGGCUGCCGGAAAUACUGCAGGACUAGGGAGUGGGAGAGGUAGACGGUACUCGGGAGGAAGGGGUAAAAUCCUUUGAUCUCUCGAUGACCACCUGUGGCGAAGGCGGUCUACCAGAACACGUCCGACGGUGAGGGAUGAAAGCUGGGGGAGCAAACCGGAUUAGAUACCCGGGUAGUCCCAGCCGUAAACUAUGCAAACUCAGUGAUGCAUUGACUUGUGGUCAAUGCAGUGCUGCAGGGAAGCCGUUAAGUUUGCCGCCUGGGAAGUACGUACGCAAGUAUG
rnacentral:rRNA from 1 species